AUACGUAGGUGGCAAGCGUUGUCCGGAUUUACUGGGUGUAAAGGGCGCGUAGGCGGGCAGGCAAGUCAGAUGUGAAAUCUCCGGGCUCAACCCGGAAAUUGCAUUUGAAACUGCAGGUCUUGAGUAUCGGAGAGGCAAGCGGAAUUCCUAGUGUAGCGGUGAAAUGCGUAGAUAUUAGGAGGAAGACCAGUGGCGAAGGCGCCUUGCUGGAUGACAACGGAAGUUCAGCGGAGAACGCGGGGGGAGAAAAAAGUUUGUGACUCCUGGGUAGUCCUCGCCGUAAACGAUGAAUACUAGGUGUAGGGGGUAUCGACUCCCUAUGUGCCGCAGUUAACACAAUAAGGAAUCCACCUGGGGAGUACGGCAGCAAGGUGGAAACUUAAAGGAAUUGACGGGG
rnacentral:rRNA from 1 species